rnacentral:rRNA from 1 species
AGUUUGAUCAGGCUCAGGACGAACGCUGGCGGCGCGCUUAACACAUGCAAGUCGAGCGAGAACCAGGGCUUCGGCUCUGGGGACAGCGGCGAACGGGUGAGUAACACGUGGGUAAUCCACCCUCGGCACCGGAAUAGCCCGGGGAAACCCGGAUUAAUGCCGGAUGGCCCGUCGACCCUUCGGGGCUGACGGAAAAGGUAGCUUCGGCCUCCGGCCGAGGACGAGCCCGCGACGGAUUAGCUGUUGGUGGGGUAAUGGCCCACCAAGGCUCCGUCCGUAGCUGGUCUGAGGGGACGAUCAGCCACACUGGGACUGAGACACGGCCCAGACUCCUACGGGAGGCAGCAGUGGGGAAUCUUGCGCAAUGGGCGAAAGCCUGACGCAGCGACGCCGCGUGGGGGAAGAAGGCCUUCGGGUUGUAAACCUCUUUCAGGAGGGACAAGCCACUCGGGAAUUUAAUAGCCCAGAGGGUGACGGUACCUCUAGAAGAAGCCCCGGCUAACUACGUGCCAGAGCGCGCGGUAAUACGUAGGGGGCAAGCGUUGUCCGGAUUUAUUGGGCGUAAAGAGCGUGUAGGCGGCCAGGUAGGUCUGCUGUGAAAACUCGAGGCUUAACCUCGAGCUGUCGGCGGAAACCAUCUGGCUAGAGUCCGGAAGAGGAGAAUGUCCCGGUGUAGCGGUGAAAUCGCAGAUAUCGGGAAGAACACCCGUGGCGAAGGCGGUAGGCUCUGGGACGGUACUGACGCUGAGACGCGAAAGCGUGGGGAGCGACGGGGAACAGGAUUAGAUACCCUGGUAGUCCACGCCGUAAACGAUGAGUGCUAGGUGUGGGGGGUGUCGACUCCCUCCGUGCCGCAGCUAACACAUUAGCAUCCGCCUGGGGAGGCUCGUGCUACGGCGGCAAGGUAAAACUCAAAGGAAUUGGCCCGCACCCGCAGCGGAGCAUGUGGUGGAAUUCAACGCAACGCGAAGUUCCUUACCUAGGCUUGACAUGCACGGGAAUGUCGUAGAAAUAUGGCAGCCCUGCAACUCGGGACAGGUGGUGCAUGGCUGUCGUCAGCUCGUGUCGUGAGAUGUUGGGUUAAGUCCCGCAACGAGCCCCUGGUCUAUGUUAAGUGCCAGCGUGAAAGACGGGGACUCAUAGGAGACUGCCGGUGACAAAUCGGAGGAAGGUGGGGAUGACGUCCAUCAUGCCCCUUACGUCUAGGGCUACACACGUGCUACAUUGGC